AACCAAAAUCCUUUCAAAAAACUCUCAGCCUCUUGUUCUUCGGCCAGGGCCAGGUCAUCGGCCACAGCGCCGGCCGCCGAUCUCCGGCGUCGACACCGCCGUCUGCGAUGGCCGAAAAAGGAGAAAAUCUCCUAUUCAAACCUUUCGAAGCCUCUAAGCCCAUAUCUAGGUUUAAAUUUUCCAAAAACCGACAAAAGCACCCUCAAAAAACCUAGAAAUCUUUCGGCUUCUAACCGUCUGUCCUCGGAGACGAACAUCGACCAUCCCAAUUGCGUUCUGGAGGUAAGCGAAAGAAUUGCGUUUCUCCUGCAACUACUGAUUGUAGCUCCAGUGUCUAUCAUAGCAUUCAGAGAAUAUCUUUUAUAUUUUCUAAACUGGAAUGUAAGUUUAAUAUUUAUUCCAACUCUUGAAUUUUUAUCAAUUGUUGAAGCUUGAAUCUCUUUCAUUCUAGUUUUUCUAGAAUUAUUACUGGGUUCAGUAGGAAAUAUAGGAAUUUGAACAGUUUUAAUUCCUAUUGGUAAGCUUAGUACAAAUUACAACCAUAGACACAGUCAUUAUAGACCAAGCAAACAUUGGCUUUUAGCCACAAACAAUGGUUCCCAACAACCAAGAUCCUGAAAUAUUAGCGGUCAAACCUCUAAAAGCAGAAAAAGAGAAGGAAGCAUCACCAUUCACAUUGGCGACAGCCACUAAUAAUAACAUUAGUGUGUAUGAUCCCCAUUACCGAGCGUCUUCGUUUUCACUGAGGAUCUUGCUUACAAAGAAAGAGAGAAAUAAUGAAGCACAAGACAGAGCUGAGCGUCCUAAAUCACCCAUCGGAAGACACCUUAAGAGAGCAGAGGCUCGAAGACACCCCAAACCGACACCUUAAGAGAGCAGAGGCUCGAAUACACCCCAAACCGACUGAAAUCAGCCAUUGGCGACACCUAACCCAGAACAACACACAAACAGUGACUGAAUCGUCGAGGAUCUUGGAUCUGGCAAAAAUAGAUAAAUAAGGAAAACAACAUCUUGAGGCUUUUGGCAUUGCCACAAAUCCACCAAUUGGGAGUUGCAGCAAAACUCUCACCAAAAGUGGAACACCGACAUCAAAACACCACACUGGUCCCUCCUUAACAUAGGUCCGCUCGAGAGAAGAGAAAAAAGCCACGAACGCUCAGAUAAAUCCCCUGAAAAGGAUUAUUAAACCGAGAGGAUGGAAAAAAAAGGAGAACAAGGAGAAGGACGAUCAACCAUCGAUGACAGGUGUUUGACCGUCUAAAACGAGAAACUGAAAGAAAGCGUUGGAGCGACGCUUAGGGUUUCUUGUCAAAUUUUCAGUUCACAAACCUAAAAUGUCAAUUACCAAUCUAAUGGAGUUGAAAAUUAUUAGUGUAAAUUUAAAUAUAAAUUGUUUAUAAAUUAAAUUUAAAUUAUCAAUUAAAUAUACUAAGCUAAAA